UACGUAGGGGGCUAGCGUUGUCCGGAAUCAUUGGGCGUAAAGCGCGUGUAGGCGGUCCGGUAAGUCCGCUGUGAAAGUCGGGGGCUCAACCCUCGGAUGCCGGUGGAUACUGUCGGGCUUGAGUCCGGAAGAGGCGAGUGGAAUUCCUGGUGUAGCGGUGGAAUGCGCAGAUAUCAGGAGGAACACCAAUAGCGAAGGCAGCUCGCUGGGACGGUACUGACGCUGAGGCGCGAAAGCGUGGGGAGCGAACAGG
rnacentral:rRNA from 1 species